rnacentral:rRNA from 1 species
UGGGGGCAACCCUGAUCCAGCCAUGCCGCGUGAGUGAUGACGGCCUUAGGGUUGUAAAGCUCUUUUCUCCGGGACGAUAAUGACGGUACCGGAGGAAUAAGCCCCGGCUAACUUCGUGCCAGCAGCCGCGGUAAUACGAAGGGGGCUAGCGUUGCUCGGAAUCACUGGGCGUAAAGGGCGCGUAGGCGGCUGAUUUAGUCGAGGGUGAAAGCCCGUGGCUCAACCACGGAAUGGCCUUCGAUACUGAUUGGCUUGAGACCGGAAGAGGACAGCGGAACUGCGAGUGUAGAGGUGAAAUUCGUAGAUAUUCGCAAGAACACCAGUGGCGAAGGCGGCUGUCUGGUCCGGUUCUGACGCUGAGGCGCGAAAGCGUGGGGAGCAAACAGGAUUAGAUACCCUGGUAGUCCACGCUGUAAACGAUGAAUGCUAGCCGUUGGGGUGCAUGCACCUCAGUGGCGCCGCUAACGCUUUAAGCAUUCCGCCUGGGGAGUACGGUCGCAAGAUUA